UUACCCAAUAUAGUGAAUAUUUUGUGGGAGC
rnacentral:piRNA from 1 species